rnacentral:rRNA from 1 species
GACGAACGCUGGCGGCGUGCCUAAUACAUGCAAGUAGAACGCUGAAGGAGGAGCUUGCUUCCCCGGAUGAGUUGCGAACGGGUGAGUAACGCGUAGGUAACCUGCCUGGUAGCGGGGGAUAACUAUUGGAAACGAUAGCUAAUACCGCAUAAAAGUAGAUGUUGCAUGACAUUUGCUUAAAAGGUACAAUUGCAUCACUACCAGAUGGACCUGCGUUGUAUUAGCUAGUUGGUGGGGUAACGGCUCACCAAGGCGACGAUACAUAGCCGACCUGAGAGGGUGAUCGGCCACACUGGGACUGAGACACGGCCCAGACUCCUGCGGGAGGCAGCAGUAGGGAAUCUUCGGCAAUGGACGGAAGUCUGACCGAGCAACGCCGCGUGAGUGAAGAAGGUUUUCGGAUCGUAAAGCUCUGUUGUAAGAGAAGAACGAGUGUGAGAGUGGAAAGUUCACACUGUGACGGUACCUUACCAGAAAGGGACGGCUAACUACGUGC